rnacentral:lncRNA from 1 species
UUAAGGUUGAGGACGUGAUUGAGCGAGCGAAGGUUGAGGAUGAAUGAUUGAGGGUGAGAGAAACGUGAGGUUGAGAGCGAGAGAGAGAUUCGUUGAGAGCGAGAGAGAUAUUCGUUGAGGGUGAGAGAAACGUGAGGUAAAGAGAUUCUGAGAAUGAAUUUGGGAGGGGGACGAUGAGUUCUGGGAUGUUUGCAUCCUCACUCUUCAUUUUUUUAUUAUUUAAUCUUUAUUAAACAGACCGUUAAAUCCAU